rnacentral:miRNA from 1 species
GACGUCGAUAUUCGACGUCAUAAACACGAGCAACUUCGGUGUUUAUGACGUCGAUAUUCGACGUCAUAAACACGAGCAACUUUGGUGUUUAUGACGUCGAUAUUCGACGUCAUAAACACGAGCAACUUUGGUGUUGAUAUUCGACGUCGAUAUUCGACGUCAUAAACACGAGCAACGUCGGUGUUGAUGACGUCGAUAUUCGACGUCAUAAACACGAGCAACUUUGGUGUUUAUGACGUCGAUAUUCGACGUC